AACAUCUAAGUACCCCGAGGAAAAGAAAUCAACCGAGAUUCCCCCAGUAGCGGCGAGCGAACGGGGAGCAGCCCAGAGUCUGAAUCAGCUUGUGUGUUAGUGGAACGGUCUGGAAAGUCCGACGGUACAGGGUGAUAGUCCCGUACACCAAAAUGCACAGGUUGUGAACUCGAAGAGUAGGGCGGGACACGUGGUAUCCUGUCUGAAUAUGGGGGGACCAUCCUCCAAGGCUAAAUACUCCUGACUGACCGAUAGUGAACCAGUACCGUGAGGGAAAGGCGAAAAGAACCCCGGCGAGGGGAGUGAAAAAGAACCUGAAACCGUGUACGUACAAGCAGUGGGAGCCUACUUGUUAGGUGACUGCGUACCUUUUGUAUAAUGGGUCAGCGACUUAUAUUCUGUAGCAAGGUUAACCGAAUAGGGGAGCCGAAGGGAAACCGAGUCUUAACUGGGCGUUAAGUUGCAGGGUAUAGACCCGAAACCCGGUGAUCUAGCCAUGGGCAGGUUGAAGGUUGGGUAACACUAACUGGAGGACCGAACCGACUAAUGUUGAAAAAUUAGCGGAUGACUUGUGGCUGGGGGUGAAAGGCCAAUCAAACCGGGAGAUAGCUGGUUCUCCCCGAAAGCUAUUUAGGUAGCGCCUCGUGAAUUCAUCUUCGGGGGUAGAGCACUGUUUCGGCUAGGGGGUCAUCCCGACUUACCAACCCGAUGCAAACUGCGAAUACCGAAGAAUGUUAUCACGGGAGACACACGGCGGGUGCUAACGUCCGUCGUGAAGAGGGAAACAACCCAGACCGCCAGCUAAGGUCCCAAAGUCACAGUUAAGUGGGAAACGAUGUGGGAAGGCACAGACAGCCAGGAUGUUGGCUUAGAAGCAGCCAUCAUUUAAAGAAAGCGUAAUAGCUCACUGGUCGAGUCGGCCUGCGCGGAAGAUGUAACGGGGCUAAACCAUGCACCGAAGCUGCGGCAGCGACACUAUGUGUUGUUGGGUAGGGGAGCGUUCUGUAAGCCGUUGAAGGUGUGUCGUGAGGCAUGCUGGAGGUAUCAGAAGUGCGAAUGCUGACAUAAGUAACGAUAAUGCGGGUGAAAAACCCGCACGCCGGAAGACCAAGGGUUCCUGUCCAACGUUAAUCGGGGCAGGGUGAGUCGACCCCUAAGGCGAGGCCGAAAGGCGUAGUCGAUGGGAAACAGGUUAAUAUUCCUGUACUUGGUGUUACUGCGAAGGGGGGACGGAGAAGGCUAUGUUAGCCGGGCGACGGUUGUCCCGGUUUAAGCAUGUAGGCGGAGGUUCCAGGUAAAUCCGGUACCUUUUUAACGCUGAGGUGUGAUGACGAGGCACUACGGUGCUGAAGUAACAAAUGCCCUGCUUCCAGGAAAAGCCUCUAAGCAUCAGGUAACACGAAAUCGUACCCCAAACCGACACAGGUGGUCAGGUAGAGAAUACCAAGGCGCUUGAGAGAACUCGGGUGAAGGAACUAGGCAAAAUGGUGCCGUAACUUCGGGAGAAGGCACGCUGAUAUGUAGGUGAAGUGGUUUACUCAUGGAGCUGAAAUCAGUCGAAGAUACCAGCUGGCUGCAACUGUUUAUUAAAAACACAGCACUGUGCAAACACGAAAGUGGACGUAUACGGUGUGACGCCUGCCCGGUGCCGGAAGGUUAAUUGAUGGGGUUAUCCGUAAGGAGAAGCUCUUGAUCGAAGCCCCGGUAAACGGCGGCCGUAACUAUAACGGUCCUAAGGUAGCGAAAUUCCUUGUCGGGUAAGUUCCGACCUGCACGAAUGGCGUAAUGAUGGCCAGGCUGUCUCCACCCGAGACUCAGUGAAAUUGAACUCGCUGUGAAGAUGCAGUGUACCCGCGGCAAGACGGAAAGACCCCGUGAACCUUUACUAUAGCUUGACACUGAACACUGGUCCUUGAUGUGUAGGAUAGGUGGGAGGCUUUGAAGUGUGGACGCCAGUCUGCAUGGAGCCAACCUUGAAAUACCACCCUUUAAUGGCUGGUGUUCUAACGUGGACCCGUGAUCCGGGUUGCGGACAGUGUCUGGUGGGUAGUUUGACUGGGGCGGUCUCCUCCUAAAGAGUAACGGAGGAGCACGAAGGUUAGCUAAUCCUGGUCGGACAUCAGGAGGUUAGUGCAAAGGCAUAAGCUAGCUUGACUGCGAGAGUGACGGCUCGAGCAGGUGCGAAAGCAGGUCUUAGUGAUCCGGUGGUUCUGAAUGGAAGGGCCAUCGCUCAAC
rnacentral:rRNA from 1 species